AUGAUAACAGCCCUCACCUACCUCUUUGUGGACAAGGGAUUGUGUUUCCCAAAUGCCAAAUGCCUACAGGAGGUGGCCGCAGUAAUCGGACUCAACCUCCACUGCGGGGCGGCCGGGUUAGGGGCCAGCAGCGGCGGGGCCUCCUCUUCCGGAGGGCGGCUUUUGGCUUCGGGGAAGGAGGCCACGGCCCGGCGGGAGGUAGGGGGAGGGGAAGCCGGUGCGGGGACUGGCGGAAGCGCCGGCGCCAGUGCCCCGGCCACUCUUGCGCCGGACGCCCGGAGGGUCGCGCGGCCCUCGCCCAUUAGCGCCGAGGGCCCCGACGUCACCGCGACACCCCCCGCGCCCCGAGGCUGCUGGUCUUCGAGCCCACUCGCCGCGCGUCGCCGCCGCCUGGAGAGAUGGAAGGCCCAGCCGCCGACGCCAUCAUGUCGCCCGAAGAGGAGCUGGACGGGUACGAGCCGGAACCUCUGGGGAAGCGGCCGGCUGUCCUGCCCUUGCUGGAGUCGGUCGGGGAGGCCAGCAGUGGCCCUUGCAGGGACGGCUCACUGCCCUCGACGCCACCCCCAGCAGAGGAGGAGGAAGACGAGCUGUACCGGCAGUCGCUGGAGAUUAUCUCUCGGUACCUUCGGGAGCAGGCAACAGGCGCCAAGGACGCGAGACCACUGGCCGGGUGUGGGGCGGUCGGCUGGAAGGCGUUAGAGGCCCUCCGACGGGUCGGGGACCGGCUUCAGCGCAACCACGAGACGGCCUUCCGAGGUAUGCUUCGGAAACUGGACAUCAAAAACGAAGAAGAUGUCAAGUCUUUGUCUCCAGUGAUGGUCCACGUUUUCAGUGACGGAGUAACAAACUGGGGCAGGAUUGUGACUCUUAUUUCUUUUGGUGCCUUUGUGGCCAAACACCUGAAGAGGAUAGACCAAGAAAGCUGCAUCGAACCCUUAGCAGAAAGCAUCACAGAUGUUCUCGUGAGGACAAAACGAGACUGGCUAGUGAAACAAAGAGCCUGGGAUGGGUUUGUGGAGUCCUUCCACGUAGAGGACCUAGAAGGUGGCAUCAGAAAUGUGUUGCUGGCUCUUGCAGGUGUUGCUGGAGUAGGAGCUGGUUUGGCAUAUCUAAUAAGAUAGCCUUUUAAGUGCAAUGAUUGACUUUUAACCAACCCGCACCAAAACCACAUACGACUGCUGUGAAAUCAAAGGUAUUUAUGAAGUUGGACUUUGAGCUGUCCAGGCUGUAACCUCCAAGAGUUCGACCCUAGCAACGUACAACAGCAAGUGGCAAGAGGAUUAUGGCUAACAGGAAUAAAUACAUGGGAAAAGUAGUCCCCCUUGAAGAGUCACUGUCUAAAAGAAGCAGAGGUCAGUUCAGCAACAGGCAAACUUUGGGAGGCCAUGGAGGAGGACUUUUCGAUUUAGUGAAGAUGGUAGGGUUGAAGAGACUUAAUUUCCUUGUCUAGAACGGGAGAGUGGCCAGUAGCCAGGCUAGUCCUAGAGUCCAUUAAAUAUGUCCACUGAAUUCAUUAACUUCCUACAGCAUUACAAGAGCAGCUGUGGCAAUGGCAUUGAUCUGUAUAAAAUGGAUUGAAGCUACAGGUAAUAGAACUAUGACUAGAAGCCUGAGUACUGUACAACGGAGUGUGAAGGGAAGCUUUUGCUCUGUAAUUAGCUUUCCGAGGUAUACUUCCUGAAUAGAAAGUCCAAGUGCUCAGGACUUUUAUACCUGUUCUGCUUUGGCUUGGUUUGAGUGGUUUAGUUUUAAUAGCCUGGU